rnacentral:rRNA from 1 species
AGGGGGACCUUCGGGCCUCUUGCCAUCGGAUGUGCCCAGAUGGGAUUAGCUUGUUGGUGGGGUAACGGCUCACCAAGGCGACGAUCCCUAGCUGGUCUGAGAGGAUGACCAGCCACACUGGAACUGAGACACGGUCCAGACUCCUACGGGAGGCAGCAGUGGGGAAUAUUGCACAAUGGGCGCAAGCCUGAUGCAGCCAUGCCGCGUGUAUGAAGAAGGCCUUCGGGUUGUAAAGUACUUUCAGCGGGGAGGAAGGGAGUAAAGUUAAUACCUUUGCUCAUUGACGUUACCCGCAGAAGAAGCACCGGCUAACUCCGUGCCAGCAGCCGCGGUAAUACGGAGGGUGCAAGCGUUAAUCGGAAUUACUGGGCGUAAAGCGCACGCAGGCGGUUUGUUAAGUCAGAUGUGAAAUCCCCGGGCUCAACCUGGGAACUGCAUCUGAUACUGGCAAGCUUGAGUCUCGUAGAGGGGGGUAGAAUUCCAGGUGUAGCGGUGAAAUGCGUAGAGAUCUGGAGGAAUACCGGUGGCGAAGGCGGCCCCCUGGACGAAGACUGACGCUCAGGUGCGAAAGCGUGGGGAGCAAACAGGAUUAGAUACCCUGGUAGUCCACGCCGUAAACGAUGUCGACUUGGAGGUUGUGCCCUUGAGGCGUGGCUUCCGGAGCUAACGCGUUAAGUCGACCGCCUGGGGAGUACGGCCGCAAGGUUAAAACUCAAAUGAAUUGACGGGGGCCCGCACAAGCGGUGGAGCAUGUGGUUUAAUUCGAUGCAACGCGAAGAACCUUACCUGGUCUUGACAUCCACGGAAGUUUUCAGAGAUGAGAAUGUGCCUUCGGGAACCGUGAGACAGGUGCUGCAUGGCUGUCGUCAGCUCGUGUUGUGAAAUGUUGGGUUAAGUCCCGCAACGAGCGCAACCCUUAUCCUUUGUUGCCAGCGGUCCGGCCGGGAACUCAAAGGAGACUGCCAGUGAUAAACUGGAGGAAGGUGGGGAUGACGUCAAGUCAUCAUGGCCCUUACGACCAGGGCUACACACGUGCUACAAUGGCGCAUACAAAGAGAAGCGACCUCGCGAGAGCAAGCGGACCUCAUAAAGUGCGUCGUAGUCCGGAUUGGAGUCUGCAACUCGACUCCAUGAAGUCGGAAUCGCUAGUAAUCGUGGAUCAGAAUGCCACGGUGAAUACGUUCCCGGGCCUUGUACACACCGCCCGUCACACCAUGGGAGUGGGUUGCAAAAGAAGUAGGUAGCUUAACCUUCGGGAGGGCGCUUACCACUUUGUGAUUCAUGACUGGGGUGAAGUCGUAACAAGGUAACCGUAGGGGAACCUGCGGUUGGAUCACCUCCUUACCUUAAAGAAGC